rnacentral:rRNA from 1 species
AGAGUUUGAUCCUGGCUCAGGAUGAACGCUGGCGGCGUGCCUAAUACAUGCAAGUCGAGCGAACCACUUCGGUGGUGAGCGGCGAACGGGUGAGUAACACGUAGGUGAUCUGCCCAUCAGACGGGGACAACGAUUGGAAACGAUCGCUAAUACCGGAUAGGACGAAAGUUUAAAGGUGCUUCUGGCACCGCUGAUGGAUGAGCCUGCGGCGCAUUAGCUAGUUGGUAGGGUAAAGGCCUACCAAGGCGACGAUGCGUAGCCGACCUGAGAGGGUGAACGGCCACACUGGGACUGAGACACGGCCCAGACUCCUACGGGAGGCAGCAGUAGGGAAUCUUCGGCAAUGGGCGAAAGCCUGACCGAGCAACGCCGCGUGAAUGAUGAAGGCCUUCGGGUUGUAAAAUUCUGUUAUAAGGGAAGAACGACUUUAGUAGGAAAUGGCUAAAGUGUGACGGUACCUUAUGAGAAAGCCACGGCUAACUACGUGCCAGCAGCCGCGGUAAUACGUAGGUGGCAAGCGUUAUCCGGAAUUAUUGGGCGUAAAGAGCGCGCAGGUGGUUGAUUAAGUCUGAUGUGAAAGCCCACGGCUUAACCGUGGAGGGUCAUUGGAAACUGGUCGACUUGAGUGCAGAAGAGGGAAGUGGAAUUCCAUGUGUAGCGGUGAAAUGCGUAGAGAUAUGGAGGAACACCAGUGGCGAAGGCGGCUUCCUGGUCUGUAACUGACACUGAGGCGCGAAAGCGUGGGGAGCAAACAGGAUUAGAUACCCUGGUAGUCCACGCCGUAAACGAUGAGUGCUAAGUGUUGGGGGUCGAACCUCAGUGCUGAAGUUAACGCAUUAAGCACUCCGCCUGGGGAGUACGGUCGCAAGACUGAAACUCAAAGGAAUUGACGGGGACC